UACAGUUUUGUGAUGCCUAAAGGAUUUGAAGCCCUGAUUAUGUGUUUACAGAAAAGAAAAAGAAGAAAAGAAGAGCCAGGAGGAUAGGUUGUUCAGUUUACUACCGGAGACCUGACUGUGACAGACUACCAAGGAAACAAAAUUUUCUGAGAGAGUAAAGAAGACCUUCUGCAGCAUUUGCAAGGGUCUCCUUUUUUUCUUCAGAGUUACGUGGGAUAACUUAGCCAGAACUUAUUGAUGUCUGCAUGUUCAGUGGACUCGGGAAUGGACUGGGAGAUGCAGAAAGGCACUCUUUGGAAGGAACAGAAGAGGAGGCAUUUCAAAAAUCCUGCAGGUGACCGAGGCUAGGUCUGGGCCUGUGCCUUCCUCAUCAGCAUGCCUAUUAAUGUCAAGACUGAGGACAUGAGAAGGUUGAGGUGACCAGCGCACAGCAGUGAAAAAGAUGCCAGUACAAGGAUCAAGACCAAAAGUGAUCAGACUUCAGACAGAGAAGGAGUAGAAAAAUUGCUGAGGUCUCCACACAGGUGUCUGAUAACAGUCUCACCAAGGUGGAAGUCAAACUGUCUCACAACUCAGCCUCUUCUCCCUAGUGCCUGUGGAGGCAGCUUCCAGCAUGACACAUCCCAUCUUUGCCUCUCCAGAGUAUGGGACUGCUUGCAUCGUUCUCUGAAGGGUCUAGUGCUGGUACUUCUAGACACUAGUCUGCUAAAUGUGGAGGGGCCCUGGGACAUCCUGCGCUGGUUUGACCUCCAGUUCUCUCCUAACUCAUCUGCAGCUCUGCUGUUUCAUGCUGGAAGAUCUUUCAGUUUUGGCUUUGCCUUGCCUACUACAUC